rnacentral:rRNA from 1 species
CGACCUCAGUUCAGGUAAGACUACCCCCUGAAUUUAAGCAUAUUACUAAGGGGAGGAAAAGAAACCAAC